rnacentral:tRNA from 1 species
AGUAAUUUGUGCCUGAAAAAGGGUUAUCGUGAUAGGAUAAAUUAUGUAAUUUUAAUUACCUUUACUA